GAGACCUCAGGUCAGGCGGGGCUACCCGCUGAGCU
rnacentral:rRNA from 1 species